UACGUAGGGUGCAAGCGUUAUCCGGAAUUAUUGGGCGUAAAGAGCUCGUAGGCGGUUUGUCGCGUCUGCUGUGAAAACUCAGGGCUUAACCCUGAGCUUGCAGUGGGUACGGGCAGACUAGAGUGCGGUAGGGGAGACUGGAAUUCCUGGUGUAGCGGUGAAAUGCGCAGAUAUCAGGAGGAACACCGGUGGCGAAGGCGGGUCUCUGGGCCGUAACUGACGCUGAGGAGCGAAAGCGUGGGGAGCAAACAGG
rnacentral:rRNA from 1 species